GUUGUGCUGCCGACCGCUCCGCAGCCCGCGGUGCAGCUGGCACUGACACGAUGCUAAAAAGGAAGAGAUCUUCGGAUAAAUUCCCGUUGAUAUUGGCAGCUCUGAGAGGAGUCAACAGCAAGUAAUAAGGGCUGUUCAUGUGCAGAGCCAAGUCUGCUGUGGGACACCUUUCUUGGCUGGAAUCAAUGAAAGAAUCCAGCAGUCUCAUUGACUGAGCAAAUCAGGAGCCAGUUCACACAGGAGGCAGACAGAUGCAGGAAGGGCUUGGAGACUCCUGCCUGGCCAGCAUCACACACACAGAGCCAAGGGCCAGCUGCAGCAUGUGCUGCUCCCGUCCUGCAUGUGCUGCUCCUGUCCUGCAGUGGUUCUCUGGCAGCAGACACCAGGUAAGCACA